AAUAAUGUGCUUGAUAAAAAGGUCGUCUUGAUAGGACGGAAAAUGAGAGUUUCCUCUCCAUUAUUA
rnacentral:tRNA from 1 species